AGACCAUGGUGAGGACACAUUCUGAGCAUAUUCUUAAAUCUAUCCCAAGCUUCAUAUAAAGAUUCUGUAUCAACUUACUUGAAGUCGGAUAUCAAAUUCUGCAUGU